rnacentral:rRNA from 1 species
AUUGAACGCUGGCGGCAUGCCUUACACAUGCAAGUCGAACGGCAGCACGGGUGCUUGCACCUGGUGGCGAGUGGCGAACGGGUGAGUAAUACAUCGGAACGUACCUUAUCGUGGGGGAUAACGCAGCGAAAGCUGUGCUAAUACCGCAUACGCCCUGAGGGGGAAAGCGGGGGAUCGCAAGACCUCGCGCGAUUAGAGCGGCCGAUGCCUGAUUAGCUAGUUGGUGGGGUAAAAGCCUACCAAGGCGACGAUCAGUAGCUGGUCUGAGAGGACGAUCGGCCACACUGUGACGGAGACACGGCCCAGACUCCUACGGGAGGCAGCAGUGGGGAAUGUUGGACAAUGGGGGCAACCCUGAUCCAGCAAUGCCGCGUGAGUGAAGAAGGCCUUCGGGUUGUAAAGCUCUUUUGUCAGGGAAGAAACACCGGCUCUAACACAGUCCGGGAAUGACGGUACCUGAAGAAUAAGCACCGGCUAACUAUGUGCCAGCAGCCGCGGUAA